rnacentral:misc_RNA from 1 species
CACACAUGCCUUACAAUAAUUAAAUCAAAACCAUGUGUUACAAGUAACUUUUGUCUCAAAAAGCCAAAUGAGCACACAUCUCGAGCUUAAAGAUUUGAAAGGCUUGAGGGGACUAAUGAUAUAACCUGCCCAAAACUAAGUAAAAAAGUCAAUAGAAGAUAGCAUGGUAGUCAAAAGGCCAGCAUAGCAAUUAAAAGUCAAAAGAUAGGUCAGAAGGUCAAUCUGGUCAAGAAGUCUUAGCAAAUAAGCAGCUCGAGCAUCAUAUAGGUCAAUAUGGCCAAGACUAGCAUCACAAAGCUUAGCCAGGCCUAGCCCUAGCCAGGACGAGCAUCACAUAGCUUGGCUAGGCCUAGACCGAACAUAAAACAUGCAUAAUACAGAGCAAAAGUUGGAUUGGCUAUUCACCCAGCUUAACCAAGCAACACCCAACCAAGCAAUGAUAUAGAAAGUCGAUCAUGAAGGUAGGAUUACAGGUGAGAAUCUUGAGAUAAGAGUUGAACACACCAAGAUUUUUGCUAUUAAUUUCAACAGCGCUUUAGUCUCCAGUUUAUAAAAAUCAAGAGUAAAGCUCAAAUUAGGUACGUUUUUCUAUAUUAUCGAAACUCCAUGAAAUUCUAUUUGAAUAAGCUCUCAAAUUAAUCUCUAACUUGAUACAUUUUCAUUAUAGUACAUGCUGACUUGGCAUAAGAACUGAUCAGGAAAACUCACGGCAACAUCAAAUACGAUCAAAAUAUUUAUACUGCGUAACUUUUUUUUUUUAACCAUUUUAUUGUUAGGAAAAAAAUUUUAAAAAAAAUUGUAAACCAUGGCCACCAAAAAUGACUGGCGGUGAUUGUGGAGAGUAG